AAGAACUUCUAAAAAGUAGUACAUCCACUCACUAUAUAUGUAUUGGUUUUUGCAGAGAUUUUGUAAUUGACAGUGAACCCAGCCAAGCUGAAGAAGGCUGAGAUAAUUGAGGCUGCAAGUUGAAAACGCAGUAGGGAGGUCUCUAACAAUGAACAUACCAAGAUUCGUCCCGAACUAUUUACAACAGAUUGAGUACAUCAUGAAAAACUGAAGAUUCUCAGAACCACCCCGUAUUCACAGUGUUCAAAACCGUCUAACAAUAAGCUGCAUUUGAACAGUGACGGUAGGAUGAAUCUUACUGUGUGAUAACAGGGUAAAUUUUGAAAAGGAAUUCAGCCACUUUUUCUGUCUGCCUCUGAUGAACACGUUUGUCCAUCCAUGAUGAUUGCUAUUUGAUUUUACAGAUGUUUAUUAUCAUAUCAAGAGGCCCCAAGAUCAGCUGGGUCCCCAACCAUUACAAAAGUUUCAGCAUUGUAAAAGAACUUAUGAUUGCUACUAGAAUGGGACCAAAAAGUGAUCUUAUCUUUCAUCACUAUGCCUUUGACGUUUGAGCCACUUUCAGGACACACCAGCCUCUAUCAACUAGUAAACUGCAGAAACUAGUAUCAUGUUUU